UUAAGUUUGACCUAUGGUCUUCUUGUUCUCAAAAACAUCCAUCAUGUUUUUAUCAUGACAUAUCACUGUUGCCGCAUCAGUAACUGCAUAGUAUGUUAUUAGACUAGAGAAAGGACAAAUUAUUUCUUCUAAGGUUUAGUGAAACCUGAACUCUGGAUUCUCACAGAACACUCAAGUGCAGAACUUGAGUCUCAUUUGAAUUGAACAGAACAGUUAUAAAUGAGAUAUGGUAAGAAAAAGAAAGAAAAGAAAAAAAUCUGUGAAGGGUCAUAUCAAAGUUUGAAUUACAAAGUAGGCAAAUAAUGGCUUUCUUUUCCUAAAUUGCAUGCUGCCCUCAUCCCAAAUCUUGGCAGUUCCCAGUAAACGAGAUAUGCUGUCAACUUUUCAUUCACUCUUCAUUUCUAAGAUUCUAUCCAACAAGUUGGGGCAUAAUUAGAUGUGGCUUUUGAGCCCCAGAAAUCGGAGCUUUGUCGUAUAAAUACUGUGUAACCCUAGAUUUGAACAGAGUUCUCUUGAAAAGCAGAAGUCUUGAAGACUUAAGAGCAUCCUUUUAGACAACGUUUCUCAUUUUCUGACUAAGCGCUAGGGAUAACAAUGAACUUCCAGGUGCUUCUGCUGGUCUUUGCUGUGGUGAUUACCACUAACAUCAACUGUCAAGGUAAAAUUUAAAUUCUGUGUAUUGUUAGUUUGUGUUAUUGUUUGUAUCUAUAUGUUUCUAUAUACUCCUUUAUUGCAGAACAACCAAAGGUGGGAGAUUCAAAUAAGUCUCCAGUGGUCAAAGGUCAAGUCAUAUCCAGGCACCAGGGCAAGACAUGUAACUGCAUUGGGAAAAGAAAUGCACUGGAGCAGAACUGUCCCUGUGGGUUGCAACGUCAAAAUAGAAUCCUCAGUAAAGACAAGAAAGCAUGGUGCCAAAAGAAGGGAAUUUCAACAUUUAGAAAAUGCCAACAGUUGAUUGGAGAAAACAGGAAGGAGAAAAAAGGCAUCAGUAUGCCGAUUUAACUAACAGUCACUAUACUCACCAGCUAUUCACCCCCAUAAUUUUAAACAUGUACUUAUCACACCAUAUCUUAAGUAGUAUAUACUGAACUAUUUUGUAUCUCUUAUAUUAACAAUACAAUAACAUGUAUUCUAGUCAAUGCUCUACAUUCAGGUUUUAAAACGGGGGAAAGUACAUACUGGAAAAAGACAUGUACAUUUACAAAUAAAGCAUGUUGACAAAGAGAGAA